CUGAAGGUGCAAUUCUGAAUAGAAUUUU
rnacentral:piRNA from 1 species